GAUGAACGCUGGCGGCGUGCCUAAUACAUGCAAGUCGAGCGAACGGACGAGAAGCUUGCUUCUCUGAUGUUAUCGGCGGACGGGUGAGUAACACGUGGAUAACCUACCUAUAAGACUGGGAUAACUUCGGGAAACCGGAGCUAAUACCGGAUAAUAUUUUGAACCGCAUGGUUCAAAAGUGAAAGACGGUCUUGCUGUCACUUAUAGAUGGAUCCGCGCUGCAUUAGCUAGUUGGUAAGGUAACGGCUUACCAAGGCAACGAUGCAUAGCCGACCUGAGAGGGUGAUCGGCCACACUGGAACUGAGACACGGUCCAGACUCCUACGGGAGGCAGCAGUAGGGAAUCUUCCGCAAUGGGCGAAAGCCUGACGGAGCAACGCCGCGUGAGUGCUGAAGGUCUUCGGAUCGUAAAACUCUGUUAUUAGGGAAGAACAUAUGUGUAAGUACCUGUGCACAUCUUGACGGUACCUAAUCAGAAAGCCACGGCUAACUACGUG
rnacentral:rRNA from 1 species